rnacentral:rRNA from 1 species
AUUGAACGCUGGCGGCAGGCCUAACACAUGCAAGUCGAACGAGUGGCGGACGGGUGAGUAAUGUCUGGGAAACUGCCUGAUGGAGGGGGAGAACUACUGGAACCGGUAGCUACUACCGCAUACCAUCAGAUGUGCCCAGAUGGGAAUAGCUUGUUGGUGGGGUAACGACUCACCAAGGCGCCGAUCCCUAGCUGGUCUGAGAGGAUGACCAGCAACGGGGGAACUGAGAAACGGGCCAGACUCCUACGGGAGGCAGCAGUGGGGAAUAUUGCACAAUGGGCGCAAGCCUGAUGCAGCCAUGCCGGGUGUAUGAAGAAGGCCUUCGGUUUGUAAAGUACUUUCAGCGGGGAGGCGUUACCCGCAGAAGAAGCACCGGCUAACUCCGUGCCAGCAGCCGCGUAAUAC